UACCUAGGGGGCAAGCGUUGUCCGGAUUUAUUGGGCGUAAAGAGCGUGUAGGCGGCCAGACAGGUCAGCUGUGAAAACUCGAGGCUCAACCUCGAGACGUCGGUUGAAACCGUCUGGCUAGAGUCCGGAAGAGGAGAGUGGAAUUCCCGGUGUAGCGGUGAAAUGCGCAGAUAUCGGGAAGAACACCCGUGGCGAAGGCGGCUCUCUGGGACGGUACUGACGCUGAGACGCGAAAGCGUGGGGAGCGAACAGG
rnacentral:rRNA from 1 species